rnacentral:rRNA from 1 species
UACGGGAGGCAGCAGUGGGGAAUAUUGCACAAUGGGCGCAAGCCUGAUGCAGCCAUGCCGCGUGUAUGAAGAAGGCCUUCGGGUUGUAAAGUACUUUCAGUCGUGAGGAAGGUGUUAAGGUUAAUAACCUUAGCAAUUGACGUUAGCGACAGAAGAAGCACCGGCUAACUCCGUGCCAGCAGCCGCGGUAAUACGGAGGGUGCGAGCGUUAAUCGGAAUUACUGGGCUAAAGGGCACGCAGGCGGUUAAUUAAGUUGGAUGUGAAAUCCCCGGGCUUAACCUGGGAAUGGCAUUCAAGACUGGUUAGCUAGAGUCUUGUAGAGGGGGUUAGAAUUCCAUGUGUAGCGGUGAAAUGCGUAGAGAUGUGGAGGAAUACCGGUGGCGAAGGCGGCCCCUGGACAAAGGCUGACGCUCAUGUGCGAAAGCGUGGGGAGCAAAC